rnacentral:rRNA from 1 species
UGUGAGCUCGAUGAGUAGGGCGGGACACGUGGUAUCCUGUCUGAAUAUGGGGGGACCAUCCUCCAAGGCUAAAUACUCCUGACUGACCGAUAGUGAACCAGUACCGUGAGGGAAAGGCGAAAAGAACCCCGGCGAGGGGAGUGAAAAAGAACCUGAAACCGUGUACGUACAAGCAGUGGGAGCACGCUUAGGCGUGUGACUGCGUACCUUUUGUAUAAUGGGUCAGCGACUUAUAUUCUGUAGCAAGGUUAACCGAAUAGGGGAGCCGAAGGGAAACCGAGUCUUAACUGGGCGUUAAGUUGCAGGGUAUAGACCCGAAACCCGGUGAUCUAGCCAUGGGCAGGUUGAAGGUUGGGUAACACUAACUGGAGGACCGAACCGACUAAUGUUGAAAAAUUAGCGGAUGACUUGUGGCUGGGGGUGAAAGGCCAAUCAAACCGGGAGAUAGCUGGUUCUCCCCGAAAGCUAUUUAGGUAGCGCCUCGUGAAUUCAUCUCCGGGGGUAGAGCACUGUUUCGGCAAGGGGGUCAUCCCGACUUACCAACCCGAUGCAAACUGCGAAUACCGGAGAAUGUUAUCACGGGAGACACACGGCGGGUGCUAACGUCCGUCGUGAAGAGGGAAACAACCCAGACCGCCAGCUAAGGUCCCAAAGUCAUGGUUAAGUGGGAAACGAUGUGGGAAGGCCCAGACAGCCAGGAUGUUGGCUUAGAAGCAGCCAUCAUUUAAAGAAAGCGUAAUAGCUCACUGGUCGAGUCGGCCUGCGCGGAAGAUGUAACGGGGCUAAACCAUGCACCGAAGCUGCGGCAGCGACGCUGAUGCGUUGUUGGGUAGGGGAGCGUUCUGUAAGCCUGCGAAGGUGUGCUGUGAGGCAUGCUGGAGGUAUCAGAAGUGCGAAUGCUGACAUAAGUAACGAUAAAGCGGGUGAAAAGCCCGCUCGCCGGAAGACCAAGGGUUCCUGUCCAACGUUAAUCGGGGCAGGGUGAGUCGACCCCUAAGGCGAGGCCGAAAGGCGUAGUCGAUGGGAAACAGGUUAAUAUUCCUGUACUUGGUGUUACUGCGAAGGGGGGACGGAGAAGGCUAUGUUGGCCGGGCGACGGUUGUCCCGGUUUAAGCGUGUAGGCUGGUUUUCCAGGCAAAUCCGGAAAAUCAAGGCUGAGGCGUGAUGACGAGGCACUACGGUGCUGAAGCAACAAAUGCCCUGCUUCCAGGAAAAGCCUCUAAGCAUCAGGUAACAUCAAAUCGUACCCCAAACCGACACAGGUGGUCAGGUAGAGAAUACCAAGGCGCUUGAGAGAACUCGGGUGAAGGAACUAGGCAAAAUGGUGCCGUAACUUCGGGAGAAGGCACGCUGAUAUGUAGGUGAGGUCCCUCGCGGAUGGAGCUGAAAUCAGUCGAAGAUACCAGCUGGCUGCAACUGUUUAUUAAAAACACAGCACUGUGCAAACACGAAAGUGGACGUAUACGGUGUGACGCCUGCCCGGUGCCGGAAGGUUAAUUGAUGGGGUUAGCGCAAGCGAAGCUCUUGAUCGAAGCCCCGGUAAACGGCGGCCGUAACUAUAACGGUCCUAAGGUAGCGAAAUUCCUUGUCGGGUAAGUUCCGACCUGCACGAAUGGCGUAAUGAUGGCCAGGCUGUCUCCACCCGAGACUCAGUGAAAUUGAACUCGCUGUGAAGAUGCAGUGUACCCGCGGCAAGACGGAAAGACCCCGUGAACCUUUACUAUAGCUUGACACUGAACAUUGAGCCUUGAUGUGUAGGAUAGGUGGGAGGCUUAGAAGUGUGGACGCCAGUCUGCAUGGAGCCGACCUUGAAAUACCACCCUUUAAUGUUUGAUGUUCUAACGUUGACCCGUAAUCCGGGUUGCGGACAGUGUCUGGUGGGUAGUUUGACUGGGGCGGUCUCCUCCUAAAGAGUAACGGAGGAGCACGAAGGUUGGCUAAUCCUGGUCGGACAUCAGGAGGUUAGUGCAAUGGCAUAAGCCAGCUUGACUGCGAGCGUGACGGCGCGAGCAGGUGCGAAAGCAGGUCAUAGUGAUCCGGUGGUUCUGAAUGGAAGGGCCAUCGCUCAACGGAUAAAAGGUACUCCGGGGAUAACAGGCUGAUACCGCCCAAGAGUUCAUAUCGACGGCGGUGUUUGGCACCUCGAUGUCGGCUCAUCACAUCCUGGGGCUGAAGUAGGUCCCAAGGGUAUGGCUGUUCGCCAUUUAAAGUGGUACGCGAGCUGGGUUUAGAACGUCGUGAGACAGUUCGGUCCCUAUCUGCCGUGGGCGCUGGAGAACUGAGGGGGGCUGCUCCUAGUACGAGAGGACCGGAGUGGACGCAUCACUGGUGUUCGGGUUGUCAUGCCAAUGGCACUGCCCGGUAGCUAAAUGCGGAAGAGAUAAGUGCUGAAAGCAUCUAAGCACGAAACUUGCCCCGAGAUGAGUUCU